AAAUAUUGGGACAUAUAAAAAAGACAACUCUGUUCCACAGAGUAGCUGUUGACAUUAUAGUUGUGCAGGCACUUUGUUGACUCUAGAAAACCUCGGGCAAAUCGCACAUCCCCAUGACGGCAACUUUGCAUUCGGAUGUCAUCCGUAUCAACUUUCGAUGCCAGUUUCUGCGCCUACCAUGGUGACCACGGGUAACGGGGAAUCGGGGUUCCAUUCCGUACAGGGACCCUGAGAAACAGCUACCACAUGCAAGGAAGGCAGCAGGCGCGCAAAUGACCCACUCCCGACGCGGGAAGGUAGUGAU